GUUUCAGCAGCCGCGGUAAGACGAACCGUGCGAACGUUGUUCGGAAUCACUGGGCUUAAAGGGCGCGUAGGCGGGGCCGCAAGUCCGGGGUGAAAGCCCCCAGCUCAACUGGGGAAGCGCCCCGGAUACUGCGGCCCUCGAGGGGGGUAGGGGCGUGCGGAACUUCCGGUGGAGCGGUGAAAUGCGUAGAUAUCGGAAGGAACACCGGUGGCGAAAGCGGCGCGCUGGACCCCUUCUGACGCUGAGGCGCGAAAGCCAGGGGAGCAAACGGGAUUAGAUACCCUAGUAGUCC
rnacentral:rRNA from 1 species